GAUGAAGAACGUAGCGAAAUGCGAUAAGUAGUGUGAAUUGCAGAAUUCAGUGAAUCAUCGAGUCUUUGAACGCACAUUGCGCCCCCUGGUAUUCCGGGGGGCAUGCCUGUCCGAGCGUCAUUGCUGCCCUCAAGCACGGCUUGUGUGUUGGGCUCUCGCCCCCCGCUUCCGGGGGGCGGGCCCGAAAGGCAGCGGCGGCACCGCGUCCGGUCCUCGAGCGUAUGGGGCUUCGUCACCCGCUCUGUAGGCCCGGCCGGCGCCCGCCGGCGAACACCAUCAAUCUUAACCAGGUUGACCUCGGAUCAGGUAGGGAUACCCGCUGAACUUAAGCAUAUCAAUAAGCGGAGGA
rnacentral:misc_RNA from 1 species